rnacentral:rRNA from 1 species
AGAACAAACGCUGGCGGCAGGCUUAACACAUGCAAGUCGAACGCCCCGCAAGGGGAGUGGCAGACGGGUGAGUAACGCGUGGGAAUCUACCCAAUUCUUCGGAACAACUGAGGGAAACUUCAGCUAAUACCGGAUACGCCCUACGGGGGAAAGAUUUAUCGGAGAAGGAUCGGCCCGCGUUGGAUUAGGUAGUUGGUGGGGUAAUGGCCUACCAAGCCGACGAUCCAUAGCUGGUUUGAGAGGAUGAUCAGCCACACUGGGACUGAGACACGGCCCAGACUCCUACGGGAGGCAGCAGUGGGGAAUCUUGGACAAUGGGGGCAACCCUGAUCCAGCCAUGCCGCGUGAGCGAUGAAGGCCUUAGGGUUGUAAAGCGUCUUUCAGCGGGGAAGAUAAAUGACGGUACCCGCAGAAAGGAAGCCCCCGGCUAAACUCCCGGUGCCAGCAGCCGC